AUGCUUAUAACUCAGUGGUAGAGUAUCUGCUUUGCAUGCAGAAGGUCCCAAAUUCAAGCCCCAGAAACAUA